GGGAAACUGCCUGAUGGAGGGGGAUAACUACUGGAAACGGUAGCUAAUACCGCAUAACGUCGCAAGACCAAAGAGGGGGACCUUCGAGCCUCUUGCCAUCAGAUGUGCCCAGAUGGGAUUAGCUAGUAGGUGGGGUAACGGCUCACCUAGGCGACGAUCCCUAGCUGGUCUGAGAGGAUGACCAGCCACACUGGAACUGAGACACGGUCCAGACUCCUACGGGAGGCAGCAGUGGGGAAUAUUGCACAAUGGGCGCAAGCCUGAUGCAGCCAUGCCGCGUGUAUGAAGAAGGCCUUCGGGUUGUAAAGUACUUUCAGCGGGGAGGAAGGUGUUGAGGUUAAUAACCUCAGCAAUUGACGUUACCCGCAGAAGAAGCACCGGCUAACUCCGUGCCAGCAGCCGCGGUAAUACGGAGGGUGCAAGCGUUAAUCGGAAUUACUGGGCGUAAAGCGCACGCAGGCGGUCUGUCAAGUCGGAUGUGAAAUCCCCGGGCUCAACCUGGGAACUGCAUUCGAAACUGGCAGGCUAGAGUCUUGUAGAGGGGGGUAGAAUUCCAGGU
rnacentral:rRNA from 1 species